ACGGCCCUCGGCGAGAAGCGGAGCCAUCAUCCCUUGGCACACCCGGGGCUGCUCUUGGAUGCAGCACUUUAAUCCUGUUCCAAGAGCUGGCCUGCUUUGCCUCUUCUCUUCCAAACAUUUCUGGACUUUCACCUAAAUUCUGAUUCUAUAGGCAAUAAACACUGGCCCCCCCCGGCACCUCUGCUCCCUGGGACCGGGGCUCGCUCAGCUGCCUCGGACUUUGGGGGCUCGCCGGGGCGGCGGGGAGGGCAGAUCUGUCGCCCACCCGGUAAGUACGUGACCGCAAACGCCGGUUGAGCUCCCGGCACGGCACCCGGCACCGGCAAGGAGGAGGCUGCUGGGGGGCAGGAGGGGACAGCCCUGGGGCAGGGAUGGAGGGGGUACCCAACCAGCACCCUGCUUCCAGUCAAUGGAGCCGGAUGGGGCUCGGGGCAGGGGUGCUGCUGGCCGGGCUGGGGUUUUUGGUGCGGGACUCAUCCCCCUCCCUUAGCUCCCAGCGGCAGGAGGUCCGGCUGCGAGACACCCCCCCGGUGCUCAGCUCCCUGGGGAAGAGCUGCCGCUGACCGUCCCCUCGGCCCCGGAGUAAACAAGUGGGUGAAACUCAACACUCUGGGGCUGCGGGUGGCUAAGAAUAACGUCCCGCUGGCUGCUCGGGCCCUGCAAUCUGCUCUCUCAGCCUUCCCCCUGCCAGCUGCCCAUUGCCCCCCCAGCCAUUUCGGCUCCUCUCCCAGUGCCAGCCUCGCCAGGGAGGGCAAGGAGCCCAGGCAUCCAGUGCCCAGCAGCUUUUGGGGGAAGCCGGGCAGCAGCUGAAGGGCAGGACACCCAGCAAGGGGUGGGAGAUGGCCGGGCACCGUGGCAAAAGGUAUCCCAGCCAGCCCUGGAGCACAGGGAUCGGGUCAGUGCAGCACCCACCACACAGCAUUUGGCUGCUGAGGAAGGGAGGAGGUAGCAGAGGACACACCAAAAGGCCAGGCAGGGAGCAGCGGGCAGGCUCUGCCAGGGACGUGGCUCAUCACGACGAGGUCCUGCGGUCACCGAACGAGCCCCCAGCCCUCCCCGGCACGGUGAGACAAGAGCUCGGCUUCAGCGCACCCACCUCUGAGGGGGUAAGGGGAGGAUGCUCCCCCCACACUUAGCAUCAAGCAGGGCUGAACAUCUGGAGAUGGGGCCAGAGAUGGGGAGAAGAUCCCUUCCUCCUCCUCCCCAAAGCACCGGGGCUAUUCCACAGGCGGGGGAUACACGCUGCAUCCCGGUGUCCUCAGCAAACCCCUGCUGAAGAUGGGGGGCACCGGGCACAGCCUCACCAGCCCCCUCCUGCUCCUGUCCAGCAACGGGACCCGCAGAGGAGAGCAUCACCCCGAAACACGUCUCGAAUGACUACAGCGCUGCUGGCAACCAGGGACAAGGGGCUGGUCCCUGGACAGGGGCUGUGGGAGGAGAGGGAAGGGGAUGGGGUAACCUGUCCCCAGCUCGAGCUGCGGCUGCUGCCCCAACAACGCCAGUGAAGUCAGCGAUGAUCAAAGGAACCUUUUCUAUCCUGUGAUUUCAGCACAGACUCCCCUUUCUCUGUAAAAGCUCUUUCAGAAGUUUAAAAAUAAAUUUCUCUUCCGCAGCGAUUUCUAUUCUUUCUCAUUAAAGAAGCAAAAAAGAAAAGGGACAAGGAACUUGGCGGUGAGGAGCCCUCGCCCUCGCCAAGACGACAUUGUUCCUUAUCGCACGCUCCCCGGUGCCUUUUUUCCUGCCUUUGUUUAAAAAGCCCAAGCAACGGGAGCAACUGUCCCAGCAGCUCACCCAACAUCCCAGCCGGGCUCCCAGGUAGGAUGGGAAUCACCCGCACCGGCUCUGAACCCUGGCAGUGACCGAGCCUUCCUCCCAGCACACGCUCCUCUGCUUCCCAAUUCCCUUCCUGGUUUCUGAGCUCUCGCACAGGCUGACACUCCUGGGUUUUGGACUUUUUUUCUUCUAGAUGAUUUUUAAGCAUGAAUCCUGGCUUUGUAAUCACAGCCUCCAGGAACUGGACUUAAAACUGGGAGAAAUAGCAGACCCCGUGAAGGCUGGGGUCCCCUUUUCCUUCCAGGGAUGGAAAGCUGCUCGGCAGGUUUUCCUUGGGAUUUAAGGACAGAAGCUGAAUUGCACAUGGCUUUUCCUGGUUUGGUCGCUGUAACCCAAAUAUCAUCAAUAGGUCCGUGUAAAAGCUCAGGACACACCAAACCCACAGCGGAGAGGGGUGCCUGGCCCCGUGGGAGAGGGUCCCUCUCCCAGCUCCCACCCCUGCGAGCAGCACCCAUGGGUGUGUGGAGGCCAAACCUGCUUCCCUCCAUCUUCGAGCGUGGUUUUUGUUGGGCCUGACCUGCGCGGGCCAGCCCUGAGCUGGGCCUUUCAUGUCCUACGGCAUCUUUAAGCCGAAAGCGGUUGCACUGCAACAGCCUGGUGCAAAACCCUGGGGCCCUACGCCAGGAACCCCCUCAUCCAGGGACCAGGGUGAGACGGGGCCGGAUCCCACCACCCGGCGAGCGAGCCAGGCUGGAGGAUGAGUUUCAUUCAGGGAGCGCACAAGGAAAGGCUUCAGGAAGUCCUAAGCGUUGGGAUGGAGGAACCAGCCCAUGGGAUGGAGGGACCCACUCAUGGGAUGGAGGGACCUACCCAAGGGAUGGACAGACCCACCCAUGGGAUGAAGAAACCUACCUACCCAUGGGAUGGAGGGACCUGCCCGUGGGAUGGAGGAACCUGCCCACGGGAUGGUGGAACCUGCCCACGGGAUGGUGGAACCUGCCCACGGGAUGGAGGGAUCCACCCAUGGGAUGGAGGAACCUACCCAAGGGAUGGCGGGACCCAUCCAAGGGAUGGAGGGACCCACCUGCCACCCCAUUGCCAGUGGCUCCAGGGGUGCUGAGCCGCUACCCAGCGACCCCGCCGUGCCGUGCCCGUGCCGUGCCCCUCCUGCAAACCCAUCGAACAUCACGCCCGCUUUUCCCCAGCCUCGCAUCAAGCUCUGCUGCUGCCGUGCCCUGACAAGAGCCACCCUGGAGCAGGACGGAGCAUCCCUGGGCAGCUCAACACACACACGCUCCCUUCCAGCUCUAUUAAGGCCUCCGAUUCCUAACGACAAAAGGACAAACAUUUCCCUCUUCAAACCCAAUUAUCUCGCUGCUAUUUAUACAGAGCGAGGGCCACGGGAAUGGCGUGGUCAGCCUAACCGCCGGCUCGCUCCGCGGCGGAAGGGGCUUGGUUAUACAACCCGGUUACUCAUCUCCCACCCGGCCGGCGUUACUCGGGGCAGCUCCUUCCUCCCCUGCUCAUCCUCAGCCUCCCCACUACCCGCCGCUGACUCACAGGAAGGGCAAAGGCAACGCCGUCACAGGCAGCUGCCGGCUCCAUAUUUAGUUGCUGAAACACGAGGGCUGGUUUGGCACUGACUCAGGCGGAGCCGGGGUCGGUCGGUGCCGGUACCCUACAACCGGGGAUGCUCCCAUCCCUAUAAACCAGGUUUGCCUCCGCUCCGGUGAUGCUCCAGAGCCAAUUCCCGGGUAUUUGGUGUUUGGGAGCGGUCACGCUUCUGCGUGCCUGAGGAUUGCAGUGAAAAAGGGAGUGGGAACCCGCGAGAAAACCCAAGUGGAGGGAAAAAUAAAGCCACGAAUCCCGUGUGGGGUU